AGUCUUUAGGGUAUGAGAAUCGUCUUCUCUCGUGGGAUUUAGUGUGUAAAACUAAGGAGAGAAAGUUUAGGUAUUAAACUGAGGAGAAAAAAAUUAGGUAUUGCCACCCUCGCAUGAAGGAAUAAGGUUUUGGGAAGAUUUCUAGUAUCCUUUUCUCUUUCUUAACAAAAUUGUCUUUGUUUCGUUUGUAUCCAAUAUAAAUAACUCAAGAAAUGAAGGAACUCUUUGACUUAAUAUUCUCAUGCUGGUAUAUCAUUGAAAAUUCAUACACCUGAGCUUGCUUUUCUGAAUAUGCUAUGCUAUGCAUGGUUAAACAAUUGAAGCACCUUCUGUUAAUUUCAAUUUUUUGCUCUUCAGGAGGUCCUGAAGGUAUUGAAAACCCAGGAAUCGAGAAAGGAGCCUAAGCCGUGAUGGACUCGGAAGGAUUUGAGUUUCUCAAGGAAAACUGCCCGCUGUUGCAGUCGGAGCUCCUGAAGACGGUUGCAGGGUAUGAAGAGGAACACGGCGGAGGGGCGAGGAGUCAGAGUGUGUGGGCCCAGUUUUCCAAUAUCAAUGAUACGAACGAUAGGAGUGUGAGGCGGCAGCAAAUGUGGGAAAAUGGCGAGGAGAGAAAUCGAAGCUUAUGGAUCCAACUCUCGGAUGGCAGCGGUGAUGUGAGUGGGAGGAGUCCUAGACAAGAAGGCUGACAGAGGUAUAACUGUGCGUGUUGUUCUUUUUGACUGGUUACAUUGAUGACCACCUAUGAGAGCGGGAAAAAGAAAUGACCAUGAUAAAGAUUGAAUAAUGUAGAAAAGAAAAGACUUGAUCUGUGUUGUUGUAUUUCAAUGUCGAAAAGAAACACUUGAUCUGUGUUGUUGUAUUUCUUUACAUGUUGAAUCGGCAAUGAUGCUGAUUUAUGAUUAAAAAUGUAGCAUUGAGAUUGUAA